rnacentral:rRNA from 2 species
AGAGUUUGAUCAUGGCUCAGAUUGAACGCUGGCGGCAGGCCUAACACAUGCAAGUCGAACGGUAACAGGAAGCAGCUUGCUGCUUCGCUGACGAGUGGCGGACGGGUGAGUAAUGUCUGGGAAACUGCCUGAUGGAGGGGGAUAACUACUGGAAACGGUAGCUAAUACCGCAUAACGUCGCAAGACCAAAGAGGGGGACCUUCGGGCCUCUUGCCAUAGGAUGUGCCCAGAUGGGAUUAGCUAGUAGGUGGGGUAACGGCUCACCUAGGCGACGAUCCCUAGCUGGUCUGAGAGGAUGACCAGCCACACUGGAACUGAGACACGGUCCAGACUCCUACGGGAGGCAGCAGUGGGGAAUAUUGCACAAUGGGCGCAAGCCUGAUGCAGCCAUGCCGCGUGUAUGAAGAAGGCCUUCGGGUUGUAAAGUACUUUCAGCGGGGAGGAAGGUGUUGAGGUUAAUAACCUCAGCAAUUGACGUUACCCGCAGAAGAAGCACCGGCUAACUCCGUGCCAGCAGCCGCGGUAAUACGGAGGGUGCAAGCGUUAAUCGGAAUUACUGGGCGUAAAGCGCACGCAGGCGGUCUGUCAAGUCGGAUGUGAAAUCCCCGGGCUCAACCUGGGAACUGCAUUCGAAACUGGCAGGCUAGAGUCUUGUAGAGGGGGGUAGAAUUCCAGGUGUAGCGGUGAAAUGCGUAGAGAUCUGGAGGAAUACCGGUGGCGAAGGCGGCCCCCUGGACAAAGACUGACGCUCAGGUGCGAAAGCGUGGGGAGCAAACAGGAUUAGAUACCCUGGUAGUCCACGCCGUAAACGAUGUCGACUUGGAGGUUGUGCCCUUGAGGCGUGGCUUCCGGAGCUAACGCGUUAAGUCGACCGCCUGGGGAGUACGGCCGCAAGGUUAAAACUCAAAUGAAUUGACGGGGGCCCGCACAAGCGGUGGAGCAUGUGGUUUAAUUCGAUGCAACGCGAAGAACCUUACCUACUCUUGACAUCCAGAGAACUUUCCAGAGAUGGAUUGGUGCCUUCGGGAACUCUGAGACAGGUGCUGCAUGGCUGUCGUCAGCUCGUGUUGUGAAAUGUUGGGUUAAGUCCCGCAACGAGCGCAACCCUUAUCCUUUGUUGCCAGCGGUUAGGCCGGGAACUCAAAGGAGACUGCCAGUGAUAAACUGGAGGAAGGUGGGGAUGACGUCAAGUCAUCAUGGCCCUUACGAGUAGGGCUACACACGUGCUACAAUGGCGCAUACAAAGAGAAGCGACCUCGCGAGAGCAAGCGGACCUCAUAAAGUGCGUCGUAGUCCGGAUUGGAGUCUGCAACUCGACUCCAUGAAGUCGGAAUCGCUAGUAAUCGUGGAUCAGAAUGCCACGGUGAAUACGUUCCCGGGCCUUGUACACACCGCCCGUCACACCAUGGGAGUGGGUUGCAAAAGAAGUAGGUAGCUUAACCUUCGGGAGGGCGCUUACCACUUUGUGAUUCAUGACUGGGGUGAAGUCGUAACAAGGUAACCGUAGGGGAACCUGCGGUUGGAUCACCUCCUUA